rnacentral:lncRNA from 1 species
AUGAAGUCCUCUGAGUAUACGGACCAAAGAAAGCUGCGGUGGAGAUAUACCACAUUUUCCAGAGUCUUCGCGAAUGACGAUGGAGGGGUGUACCAGGACUUCUCCUAUGUCAAAAGAAAUCAGAAUCAGAAGGGAUCAUUGGGCAGCUCUACAAAAGGGAUGUGCAUCUGUAACAAGAUUCUCUGAAGAAUAGCAACUGCCCUUA